rnacentral:rRNA from 1 species
CAGCACCUCAAGUGGUCAGGAUGAUUAUUGGGCCUAAGGCAUCCGUAGCCUGCUUUGUUAGUUUUCGGUUAAAUCCAUACGCUUAACGUAUGGGCUGCCGGGAAUACUGCAAAGCUAGGGAGUGGGAGAGGUAGACGGUACUCGGUAGGAAGGGGUAAAAUCCUUUGAUCUAUUGAUGACCACCUGUGGCGAAGGCGGUCUACCAGAACACGUCCGACGGUGAGGGAUGAAAGCUGGGGGAGCAAACCGGAUUAGAUACCCGCGUAGUCC